AUUUUCUGCUAGAUCUAGCGGGGAAAUUUUUCCGCUAAAUCUGGCGGGGAGAUUUUCCCGCUAGAUUUAGCGCGAAUA
rnacentral:pre_miRNA from 1 species